CCGAUAGGAUGGAAGCAGAUGAAGUUGACGAACGAGUGUCGUAUUCAGGGUUGCAUCUUGUGUGCGGUCUGUUCUUGCGACCGAUGUGGGCUGGCGGCUUUGGUCAAUGCACUGCGUCAAACGUCUAUGGAGACCCUGCGGAGGGAUCAUCAGUGGGCUUGCGAUGCGUGGUAUGGCUAAGGUUUCGCCGGUCUUGAAGUCAGCGCCUCAUCUGACCCGUCUUGAAACACGGACCAAGGAGUGUAGCGUUUACGCGAGUCUUAGAGUGUAUUAAAACUUUGAGGCGCAACGAAAGUAAAGGUGGCUUCGGCUGCUGACUUGGGAUGCGUUGUCUCCUGUGGACGGCGCUGGACCAUGGUUAUAUCGCGAUCGCUUGCGAUGCGGUGUAAAUAGAGCGUAAACGGUGCGACCCGAAAGAUGGUGAACUAUGCCUGAGCAGGAUGAAGCCGGAGGAAACUCUGGUGGAAGUCCGAAGCGGUUCUGACGUGCAAAUCGAUCGUCUGACUUGGGUAUAGGGGCGAAAGACUAAUCGAACCAUCUAGUA
rnacentral:rRNA from 1 species